GCUGAAGUAGCUCAGCUGGUAGAGCAGCGCAUUCGUAAUGCGCGGGUCGGGGGUUCGAGUCCCUUCUUCAGCACCA
rnacentral:tRNA from 4 species